UACGAAGGGGGCUAGCGUUGUUCGGAAUUACUGGGCGUAAAGCGCGUGUAGGCGGGGCUUUAAGUCAGGGGUGAAAUGCCAAGGCUCAACCUUGGAACUGCCUUUGAUACUGGAGACCUUGAGUCCGGGAGAGGUGAGUGGAACUGCGAGUGUAGAGGUGAAAUUCGUAGAUAUUCGCAAGAACACCAGUGGCGAAGGCGGCGCUCUGGACCGAGACUGACGCUGAGGCGCGAAAGCUAGGGUAGCAAACAGG
rnacentral:rRNA from 1 species